GGAUGAACGCUAGCGGGAGGCCUAACCCAUGCAAGCCGAGCGGUAUUGUUUCUUCGGAAAUGAGAGAGCGGCGUACGGGUGCGUAACACGUGUGCAACCUGCCUUUAUCUGGGGGAUAGCCUUUCGAAAGGAAGAUUAAUACUCCAUAAUAUAUUGAACGGCAUCGUUUAAUAUUGAAAGCUCCGGCGGAUAGAGAUGGGCACGCGCAAGAUUAGCUAGUUGGUGAGGUAACGGCUCACCAAGGCGAUGAUCUUUAGGGGGCCUGAGAGGGUGAUCCCCCACACUGGUACUGAGACACGGACCAGACUCCUACGGGAGGCAGCAGUGAGGAAGAUUAGUCAAUGGGUGCGAGCCUGAACCAGCCAUCCCGCGUGAAGGACGACUGCCCUAUGGGUUGUAAACUUCUUUUGUAUAGGGAUAAACCUACCCUCGAGUGGGUAGCUGAAGGUACUAUACGAAUAAGCACCGGCUAACUCCGUG
rnacentral:rRNA from 1 species